GAUGAACGUUGGCGGCGUGCCUAAUACAUGCAAGUCGAACGAAGACUGUAGUAAUACUGUCUUAGUGGCGAACGGGUGAGUAACGCGUGGGUGACCUGCCCCGAAGUGUGGGAUAACAGUUCGAAAGGAUUGCUAAUACUGCAUAAUAUCCAAGAGAUUAGACGCUUUUGGAUUAAAGGAGUAAUUCGCUUCGGGAGGGGCCCGCGUCCCAUCAGCUAGUUGGUAAGGUAAUGGCUUACCAAGGCGAUGACGGGUAGGGGACCUGAGAGGGUGGCCCCCCACAAUGGAACUGAAACACGGUCCAUACACCUACGGGUGGCAGCAGUAGGGAAUAUUAGUAAUGGGCGAAAGCCUGAACUAGCAACGCCGCGUGUGCGAAGAAGGCCUUCGGGUUGUAAAGCACUUUUUGAGAGGAUGAGGAAGGACGGUACUCUCAGAAUAAGUCUCGGCUAACUACGUGCCAGCAGCCGCGGUAACACGUAGGAGGCAAACGUUAUCCGGAUUUACUGGGCGUAAAGCGCGUGUAGGUGGUUUGGUAAGUAGGGCGUGAAAGCUCCUGGCUCAACUGGGAGAGGACGUUCUAAACUGCCAAGCUUGAGGAUGGUAGAGGGAGGUGGAAUUCCGGGUGUAGCGGUGGAAUGCGCAGAUAUCCGGAGGAACACCAGUGGCGAAGGCGGCCUCCUGGACCACUCCUGACACUCAGACGCGAAAGCUAGGGUAGCAAACGGGAUUAGAGACCCCGGUAGUCCUAGCCCUAAACGAUGUAGACUUGGCGUCGGUGGUUUAAUCGCCAUCGGUGUCGUAGCUAACGCGUUAAGUCUACCGCCUGGGGACUACGGCCGCAAGGUUAAAACUCAA
rnacentral:rRNA from 1 species